GGCCAGGUAGCUCAGUUGGUACGAGCGUCCGCCUGAAAAGCGGAAGGUCGCCGGUUCGAUCCCGGCUCUGGCCA
rfam:Rhodococcus equi ATCC 33707 chromosome, whole genome shotgun sequence.